rnacentral:rRNA from 1 species
CAGCCGCGCGGUAAUACGAAGGGUGCAAGCGUUACUCGGAAUUACUGGGCGUAAAGCGUGCGUAGGUGGUGGUUUAAGUCCGUUGUGAAAGCCCUGGGCUCAACCUGGGAAUUGCAGUGGAUACUGGGUCACUAGAGUGUGGUAGAGGAUAGUGGAAUUUCCGGUGUAGCAGUGAAAUGCGUAGAGAUCGGAAGGAACAUCUGUGGCGAAGGCGACUAUCUGGGCCAACACUGACACUGAGGCACAAAAGCGUGGGGAGCAAACAGGAUUAGAUACCCCAGUAGUCCCUGUCUCUUAUACC